rnacentral:lncRNA from 1 species
ACCAUGUUUGUAUAUAUGCUCAAAUGAUCUUCAACAAGGUUGCUAUGACCGCACAACAAGAAAAACACAGUCUCUUCAAUAAAUGGUAUUGGAAAACUCUGUAUCCACAUGGGAAAAACUGAGAUUGGGUCCUUCCUCUGAACCAUAUAAAAAAAACUGUCUUGAAUGAGUUAAAUAUUUAAAUGUCAGAAUUAUACCUAUAUAAUCUCUAAAAGAAGAUACAGUAAGAUUAUGACCUUGGUCUCAGCAAUUUUUUUUUUUUUUGAGACAGUCUUGCUCUGUCACCCAGGCUGGAGUGCAGUGGUGCGAUCUCAGUUCACUGCAACCUCUGCCUCCUGGGUUCAUGUGAUUCUCAUGCCUCAGCCUCCCAAGUAGCUGGGAUUAUAGGUACAGGCCAGCAGGCUAGAGUGCAGUGGUGUAAUCUCAACUCACUGCAAGCUCUGCCUCCUGGGUUCACACCAUUCUCCUGCCUCAGCCUCCUGAGCAGCUGGUACUACAGGUGCCCGCCACCACGCCCAGCUAAUUUUGUUUCUGUAUUUUUAGUAGAGACGAGGUUUCACCAGCCAGGAUGGUCUCAAUCUCCUGACCUCAUGAUCCGCCCGCCUCGGCCUCCCAAAGUGCUAGGAAUUACAGGAGUGAGCCACCAUGCCUGGCCCAUGAUUCCACUUUUAUACAAUAUUUUAAGUAGUAAACUAGGAAAUAGAAGUAGAAAGAUGUUUGCCUAUGGUAAGAGCUGUGAAACCUCAGUGGAGCCAGAGAUCAAGGAGGGUUAUUUAGAAAAAGGAGGUCCUCACCCAGGUGGCCAACUCAAAGGCACAUAGACUUGGCUACAGACAAGGAAACAGUGCAGAGUUUGGCCUUACUGAAGAUUAUGAAGCAGUUCUGCAACCUUUCUCAAACUCCUAUCAGCUACAGUCCACAAGUGGUCCUUCCCAUCAAGAGAUCUGCAGGGAAACAGCCAGCCAUAAUCCUGGAGGCAGGCCUGUGUAUCCUGGCCUCAGCUGUGCUCCCUGAAGCAGCCCUGUGACUCAGUUCUAACCCUCACAGCCACAAUCCAUGGCCAGCUGUACACACUCAGGGACCCACAUAGAGACUUUGAAAACUGUUCCCAGGUAGUCAGCAGAAGCCAAACCCAUUCAUACACCUUGUAUUUGACCCAUCAUAUGCAGACAAACUUUAAACCCUAACCUACUGCCUGCCAUAUAGAUUAAUGUCCUCAAGGAUAUUUAAUCUUUCCAUGGCCCAGAAAGAAUCCAUGAGUGUCGAAAUCUCUGGUAACACAAUCAUCAAAGGCAGACCCCACAGCACCCUUGUGAGCCAGCUACUACAACCCUUCUUCUCUGCAACCGCAGAGGUAAUCUCAGCCUGUGGACCAAACAAAUGGGAGAUCUUUGUCAGGCCUCUGAGCCCAAGCUAAGCCAUCAUAUCCCCUGUGACCUGCAUGUAUACAUCCAGAUGGCCUGAAGCAACUGAAGAUCCACAAAAGAAGUGAAAAUAGCCUUAACUGAUGACAUUCCAUCAUUGUGAUUUGUUCCUGCCCCCACCCUAACUGAUAUAUUCUCCCCCAACCCUUAAGAAGGUACUUUGUAAUAUUCUCCCCCACCCCGCCCUUAAGACGGUACUUUGUAUGCCUAUCCCAAACCUGUAAGAACUAAUGAUAAUCCCACCACCCUUUGCUGACUCCUUUUUUGGCCUCAGCCCAUCUGCACCCAGGUGAAAUAAACAGCCUUGUUGCUCACACAAGCCUGUUGGUGGACUCUCUUCAUAUGGACACGCCUGACAUUUGGUGCCAAGGACCCAGGUCAGAGGGACUCCUUUGGGAGACCAGUCCCCUGUUCUCGCCCUCACUCUGUGAGGAGAUCCAUCUAUAACCUCAGGUCCUCAGACCAACCAGCCCAAGGAACAUCUCAUCAAUUUCAAAUCAGCGCCCAGUCCCAUUGACCACCCAAGGGCUGAAGAGUGCGGACACACGGCGUGGGACUGGCAGGCAGCUCCACCUGCAGCCCCGGCGCGGGAUCCACUGGGUGAAGCCAGCUGGGCUCCUGAGUCUGGUGGGGACUUGGAGAACAUUUAUGUCUAGCUAAGGGAUUGUAAAUACACCAAUCGGCACUCUGUAUCUAGCUCAAGGUUUGUAAAUGCACCAAUCAGCACUCUGUGUCUACCUCAGGGUUUGUAAAUACAUCAAUCGACCUUCUGUAUCUAGCUAAUCUAGUGGGGACAUGGAAAACUUUUGUGUUUAGCUCAGGGAUUGUAAACGCACCAAUCAGCACUCUGUCAAAAUGGACCAAUCAACUCUCUGUAAAACAGACCAAUCAGCUCUCCGUAAAAUGGACCAUCAGCAGGAUGUGGGUGGGGCCAGAUAAGAGAAUAAAAGCAGGCUGCCCGAGCCAGCAGUGGCAACCUGCUCGGGUCCCCUUCCACACUGUGGAAGUUUUGUUCUUUCCCUCUUUGCAAUAAAU